rnacentral:rRNA from 1 species
CCUACGGGUGGCAGCAGUGGGGAAUAUUGGGCAAUGGGCGCAAGCCUGACCCAGCAACGCCGCGUGAAGGAAGAAGGCUUUCGGGUUGUAAACUUCUUUUGUCAGGGACGAAGCAAGUGACGGUACCUGACGAAUCAGCCACGGCUAACUACGUGCCAGCAGCCGCGGUAAUACGUAGGUGGCAAGCGUUAUCCGGAUUUAUUGGGUGUAAAGGGCGUGUAGGCGGGAAUGCAAGUCAGAUGUGAAAACUAUGGGCUCAACCCAUGGCCUGCAUUUGAAACUGUAGUUCUUGAGGGCUGGAGAGGCAAGCGGAAUUCGGUGUGUAGCGGUGAAAUGCGUAGAUAUAAGGAGGAACACCAGUGGCGAAGGCGGAUUGCUGGACAGUAACUGACGCUGAGGCGCGAAAGCGUGGGGAGCAAACAGGAUUAGAUACCCGAGUAGUC